rnacentral:misc_RNA from 1 species
GAUUGCUUGCAGCCGUAAAAAUAGCGUCCAGCCGAAAAUCAAGCUACAUGUAGCUAGUCGAAAAUCCGGCCCGAAUUUCGUGCCAAUUUCAGCCUGGUCAAUUUCAGCCUGGUGUCAGACAGUACAGUGGAGACAUGGACACUGUUUAAUCACUAAUGAAAAUAAUUUCGAUGAAAUAACAGUAGGCCUACUAUCAAGACUAAAAAGCAACUCACAUAGUUAAGGUAGCAACAGUAAAAUGAAAUUACCAUGAAUCGGAGGCAGAAAUUCUACAGUAUUGACAGGCAACGAGAAUUAGGCUUCAGGAAUGAACGAGCCACAAGAGACGCCAUCGUUGGAAGCACAGAUUUUAUGCAGAGAUUGAAACUGGAAGCCAAGCUGGAUAUUCACAGAGGAUGUGUGAAUACUAUCAGCUGGAAUGAUAGUGGUUACAGAAUCCUGUCCGGUUCUGAUGACAAACAACUUUGUAUUUCUGAUCCAUACACACGCAAGAAACUUACCAACAUAGCAUCUGGACAUCGAGCUAAUAUCUUCAGUGCUAAAUUUAUGCCAAUGUGCAAUGAUAGUCAGAUUGUUUCAUGCUCUGGGGAUGGUCAAAUAGCAUUCAAUGAUGUGGAGAAUUCUGCACACCAUGGUGAACAUAUGUUCAACUGCCACUAUGGGACUGCUUAUGAGGUGGUAACUGUGCCAAAUGACCCAUACACUUUCCUGUCUUGUGGUGAAGAUGGCACUGUCCGAUGGUUUGAUCUUCGCAUCAAGAAUAAAUGCACGAAGGAAGAAUGUCGAGAGGAUGUGCUUAUCAACUGCCGUCGUGCUGUGACAUCACUAGCAAUCAAUCCCAUCAUGCCUUAUCAUCUAGGUGUUGGUUGCUCAGACAGCUCAGUACGUGUGUUUGAUCGUAGGAUGCUUGGAACUCGAUCAACAGGUAACUACAGCGGUCGAGGUGUACAAGGUAUGUUCUGCCGUUUCUGUCCGUCACAUCUUCAAAAUAAAUACAGUCGGCCAACAUCCCUCCAGUAUUCCACUGCUGGUAAUGAGAUACUAGUUAGUUACUCUUCAGAUUACAUCUAUUUGUUUGGUGCGGAUAAAUCCAAGAAGGAGACAGUAUGGGAACAGCAAGAAGGGUUGUCUGAGAUAAGUCUGGGGGCCUCAGGAGGAUCGGCCAUACCUGAUGUUGAUGAGAAUCCUGUGGUCAAUCCAAUCAAGCGGCUACGUCUCCGUGGUGACUGGUCUGAUACUGGACCCAAAGCAAGGCCAAGAGCUGAACAGGCUGGGUCUCAACCCCGUCUUACUAUCAUCCAACGUAUGUCUGAGAUGCUAACUCGUUGGUUAGAUGACACAACGUCCUCUCACGCUAGACGUGCAGCUGCAGCAUCAUCAGGUGAAGCUGGCCAUUCCCAAGAACAACCAUUGAGUGAUACAGCAGGGCCAUCCACAUCACAGCAAACACAACUUGGCCUAGUGGAAGGUGCUCUUCCGACACGAAAGGUACUGUCAGCUGCAGCUACAACGAGCAGCCGUCACUAUUGCGAACAUGGCGACGCAUGGUCAUAAUCGUGACAUGCCACGUCGGGCAGAGCAUUUCAGAAACAAGAGAGGGCCCGGGUGCUUGAAGAAAUAAAGCAGGACCCCCCAUCAGAAGUGUUGGAGGAGGGAGCACCAGAGGCAGAAACAUCCACAGUAAG